rnacentral:rRNA from 1 species
GAUGAACGCUGGCGGCGUGCCUAAUACAUGCAAGUCGAACGAGGUGCUUUUGUAGCAAUACGAGAGUAUCCUAGUGGCGAACGGGUGAGUAACGCGUUGGUGACCUACCCCAAAGUGUGGGAUAACAGUCCGAAAGGAUUGCUAAUACCGCAUGUGAUCAUUGGAUUUAGAAACUGAUGUCUAAAGGAGCAAUUCGCUUUGGGAGGGACCUGCGUCCCAUCAGCUAGUUGGUGAGGUAAUGGCUUACCAAGGCGACGACGGGUAGGGGACCUGAGAGGGUGGCCCCCCACAAUGGAACUGAAACACGGUCCAUACACCUACGGGUGGCAGCAGUAGGGAAUAUUGCUCAAUGGGCGAAAGCCUGAAGCAGCAACGCCGCGUGUGUGAUGAAGGCCUUCGGGUCGCAAAGCACUUUUCUGGGAGAUGAGAAAGGACAGUAUCCCAGGAAUAAGUCUCGGCUAACUACGUGCCAGCAGCCGCAGUAACAC